CCUACGGGAGGCAGCAGUGGGGGAUAUUGCACAAUGGGGGGAACCCUGAUGCAGCGACGCCGCGUGGGUGAAGAAGCGCCUCGUCAUGUAAAGCUCUGUCAGCAGGGAAGAAAAAGACGGUACCUGAGGAAGAAGCCCCGGCUAACUACGUGCCAGCAGCCGCGGUAAUACGUAGGGGGCAAGCGUUAUCCGGAUUUACUGGGUGUAAAGGGAGCGUAGACGGCGAUGAAAGCCUGAAGUGAAAGCCCGCGGCUUAACCGCGGAACUGCUUUGGGAACUUGGUGGCUGGAGUGCCGGAGGGGUAGGCGGAAUUCCUGGUGUAGCGGUGAAAUGCGUAGAUAUCAGGAGGAACACCAGUGGCGAAGGCGGCCUACUGGACUGCAACUGACGUUGAGGCUCGAAAGCGUGGGGAGCAAACAGGAUUAGAUACCCCUGUAGUC
rnacentral:rRNA from 1 species